GAGGGGUGCAAACGUUAUUCGGAAUCACUGGGCGUAAAGCGUGCGUAGACGGUCUAUUAAGCUCGUUGUUAAAUUUCCCGGCCUAACCGGGAAUGUGCGAUGGGAACUGGUAGGCUUGAGGUUGGAAGAGAGGAAUGGAAUUCCCGGAGUAGCGGUAAAAUGCGUAGAUCUCGGGAGGAACACCGAUGGCGAAGGCAGUUCCUUGGUCCAUACCUGACGUUGAGGCACGAAAGCGUGGGGAGCAAACAGGAUUAGAUACCCUGGGUAGUCCACGCCGUAAACGAUGAUCACUGGACGUCGGAUUAACUUAGGUUGAUUCGGUGUCGAAGCUAACGCGUUAAGUGAUCCGCCUGGGGAGUACGGUCGCAAGAUUA
rnacentral:rRNA from 1 species